AUGUAAGCCAACCUAGUAAGUCCAUUAUUUAUUUGUUUAUUUUGAGACUAGGUCUUGUCUAGCCCAGGCUAGCCUAAGUUUAACAUUCCUUUGUGUGGCUUUAAAAGUUUAUGCACAGCUGGACAUGGUGGCACACACCUUUUGUCCCAACACUUGGGAGGCAGAGACACGUGGAUCUCUGUGAAUUUCAGGCCAGUCUGGUCUACACUGUGAGACCCUGUCUCAAGAAAAAAAAAAAAAUUACAGCAUAAAAUCUUUACAUUAAGGAUGGGGAGAGGGUUGGAACAAUGGCUCAGGGUUCAGUUUGCUCCUCUUCCAGAGGACCUGAGUUGAGUUCCCAGUACCCACAUUAGGUGGCUUACAACUGCCUGUAACUCUAGCUCCAAAGGAUCUAAUGACCUCUUCUGGCCUCAGUGGGAACCUGCACACAUGUAGCAUACUCUCACACUCAUACACACACACACACACACACACACACACACACACACACACACACACACACACACACAAGUAAAAAUAAAUCUAAACAAAGUUGGGAGAAAAAAUUCUGUUCCAAACAAUGUCCCGACGUAGCCAGGCUGGCUUCGGCCUCCCAGUGCUGGACUCCGGCUGCACACACCACGCCUGCCUGGAACGUGUUCCUUUCUACCCUUUCUUGGCUCUCCUUCCUCUCCGAUGUUGUUUUGAGAUUGUGUCUCAUGUAGGCCAAGCUGGCCUCAAGCUCAACAAUCACAUGGUGUAUUUGAGGGUGACUGUGAACUCCUGAGUCACCACGCCUGGUUGGCCCUUACCUUUUCUCCCCAUCACUGGCUUGGGGAGCUGCCUGGGCUACAUGAGACUCUACCUCAAAAACAAAAUUAUAAAUAAACAAAUUUUCUAUUUCGGUCUUACUCCACUUCCUUCUAGGAAGCUUCUUCCGUGAGAUCUUCCCAUCUACUGGUUUGUGCCUCGGCUGUGUCCAAUGAAUUCUAUUCAUUGUAGUCGGAACUUCCGGCCGGGCCCUCCAUGGCUGGGCUCACUGCUUGGUCCUCUUACCGUGCCGCUUUCCUGCUGUUGUGCGUUGUUGACAUCUCCCCUCAUCCUGCUGUCUCUGUUCAGUGCUCUCUAGUCCUGAGAUCCUGUUGCCUGUAGAAUGUGGAGCACAGUCUGUCUCCUUUAGACUAGCCCUGCCUUGUGUGGGCUGGAGGCUUUGCUUUUUGCAUAGUCUUCAUGGGACACCGGCUACUCUGUUAGGCUGUGUACCCUGGGCUGGGGUGUCUGAGCACAGAGUAUCCCUGCAAGUCAAGGCCUGAGGUUCCUAGGGAGACUAGGUCAAGCUCUGAGGCAAGCAGGGAAGGUCGGCAGUGUCCUCAGCACCCUAGGCAUGGCCACCAGUGAAUUAUGGAGCCGGGAUUGACUAUCCUGACUCCUCAUGGCUGCCAGCCUUAGUGUUCUUACCACACUAGGCCAUGGGCUGGGAGCAGCUUGUGGGAAGUGUGAAUUUCCUGGACCACUUAUAUUCGCUGGAGUUUGGGAGGAGGGAGGUGAGUCUCACGUCAAUACACACUCUUACGUGUGACUGGCCUGGGCCUGUCCCCUCUCCCCAUUUCCACCGUGGCAGAUGAAGGGUCGAGGGGAACAGUGGCCCUGGCUGAUAUGUCUGUCACAGCUUCCUUCCUACUUCCUGAUGUUCCUGUCUUUUGCUUGAGGGUCAUGCCCUCAUUUGAUGAGUGUUAGGAUUAAAACAGAAAAUUCUAUUGCCACCUUGUAGGUUUCUGAGGAUAGAAAAAAAAAAAUCAGGUCACAAGGUCUGGAUAAAAUUCAGGGUACUUAAGGUUUAAAGCAUAUAUCCUUCUGCAGACAUUCUAGGAGAUGGCCUGAAGCUUGAAGGAGAGCCCUGAGCUGACUGGGUCCUGCCUGCCUGGGGCUUUGGCCUUUGGAGAAUGCUGGCACCAACACCCUCACCCAACCCCCACCCCGGGUAAAAGCUGCCUGACCUUGCCAUCAAGCUUUUCUGCUUCAGAGAGUAGUAACAUUUAAAUUCAUCUCAGCACACUUCCUCAACUGCCAGGGAGACGUCCUCUGUCAAUUCUGGAAUCUGGGUCAGCUGUUCAUAAACUUGCUCUUUGCUCAGAGAAGUUCACAGCCCAGGCAGCAGGCAGUGGGUAAUAUUUGAGGGGGGUCGUUGUGUGGCAAGGGGUGUGUUGAGUGGGAGGGGUGGGCCUGGAGAAGGAUUUUACUUUUUGGUGAGUUAUAUUGUUUAUUUAUAUUUUUGUUUUUGAGGUAGAGUCUCAUGUAGCCCAGGCUGGCCUCAAACUCACUAUCAGCUGAGAAGGACUUUGAACUUCUGAUCUUCUGACCUCUAUCUCAUAAGUGUUGGGGUUACUCAUGGUACAGCCCUGUCCAGUUUAUAUGAGGUGCUAGAGAUAAACUUAGGGACUUGUACAUGCUAGGCAAACAUUAUCAACCAAGCUAUAGCCCCAGCCCAUUUUUUCUUGGCAGGGGGGCUAAGACAGGGUCUUUCUAUGUAGCCUAGGUUGGCCUUGAACUCAUGAUGAUUCUGUUGCCUCUGCUCGUGAGUGCUGAGAUUAUAGGCAUACAGCAUUAACACAGCAUGUUGCAGCCUCACCCCCAAUGCCAAAGGUAGAACUCAGAGCUUUGAACACCCUAACCAUUGAACUCCAACCUCAACUCCUGGUUUUCUGACACAUGGUUGCUGGGCUAGAUUGCCUAGGCUGACCUUGAACUCCUUUUUUUUAGACAGUUUUCCUGUGUAGCUGUCCUGGAUGUCCUGGAACUCAAUCUGUAGAUCAGGCUGGCCUCUAACUCAGGAUGAUCUGCCUGCCUCUGCCUCCAGAAUGCUGGGAUUAAAGGUGUUGCACCACCACUACCACCCGGCUAGGCCUUCCUCUAUGUCCCAAGUGUUGGAUUUUCAGCCUGCACCACCACAUGAGGCUUGGCUUUGUUUUCUGUCAUCUUGUUAUUUGAACUCUCAGGAAGGCAGGUUCUAAGCAUUGCCACUGACAUAGGGCAUGGAAAGAAAGGCCUCAGCAGGGGGUGGCAUGUGGGAGGGCAUCUCCUGUGACAGUUAGCCGAGGCACAGAUUACUUGGGCAGCAUGUGCUCUGCCUGCACCCCCUUAAGCUCACUCAUGAGUCAAAGCCUUCAUGCCCCUGCAGAAGUUUCUUCAGUCCAAUGUUUCUUCCUUCCUGGAUAAAGGCACCGAGGCUGAGCCUGGGUCCUCGAUUUCCACAUUUGCAACUGACCUGGAAGGGGACUCCCAAUGUCUUCCUUGCAGAAGUUGGCCCCUCCUCAUAGACAGGAUGUCACUGUGGUGUUGGCCCCUGGUGAGGGGCCCGGUUAUGUGACCUCAGACCUGUCCUCUGCUGUUGUUUCCAGGGUCUCAGUGUCUUCCGACCUGAGAGUGUGCACUGCACUUAUUGAACAAUAUUACAAAAUUCACAUCUUGCAGUGGGUCACAGUCGAGAGUCUGAGGAAGCUUUCGAGGGACUCUGCCUUGGGCCCUGUCUGUGUGGACUACGGUGAGGUGUGUGGACACAGCCACAUCUGUCUUCAGGCAGAGAACUUCCCAAGUGGGAAGAAUCACUUGGGUUCAUUGCUCCUUGCUUGCUGGAUACACAUUAAUCCUACCUGGGCCCAGAGCUAGGUAGUCAUUCCAGAAGGGCCCUAAAAACUGGCCUCAUGUGGUUCAGAGGUAGAGGAGCUUAGUGAGCCUCAAGGCAGAUCUUAGCACAUGGCUCCUAAACCGGGCGGCGGUGGUGCACACCUUUAAUCCCAGCACUAGGAAGGCAGAGCUAGGCAGAUCUCUGUGAGUUCAAGGUCAGCCUGGUCUGCAGAGCAAGAUCCAGGACAGGCACCAAAAUUACACAGAGAAACCCUGUCUAGAAAAACAAACAAACAAACAAACAAAACCAAAACAAAACUAAACAAAGCACACUGAUUCAGAGCCAGCCUCACGUCCACCUAAAGGCAGAAGGAAUGCCAGCUCCGGGCUGCACCACUGCGCUAGCCCUGAUCUCAGGACCCUGGACGACGCUCUCCACUCCCGAGGCUGAAGUCAAGGACGGGACUCCCAGCAGGAAUGACUUAGCCCCGCUGGUGUAUCACGGGCUUUUGUGGGCCUGGCCGGGAGAAUUAGGUCACUGAGAGCUGAGCUUUGAAGCUUCUGGCCCCAUACUUCCUGCUUCCUGGUCUGCUGUGAUGGUACUUCCUGCUUUUUGGUCGGCUGUGAUGGUACUUCCUGCUUCCUGGUCUGCUGUGAUGGUACUUCCUACUUCCUGGUCUGCUGUAUGGAUAGAGCCUCUGCCACACUCUGCUCCAUGAGCUCCACCAUGCCUCCCCCAAGGAAGAAGAAGCUGAGCUUGAGGAAGUCCUACAGUGUCUUGGAAAUGAAGUGACAUCAGAGAAACGACCUCAGGACUCAGCCACCCCUCACUGGCUCACCCGGAUGGCCAUUUGUAGGUGUAAAAUGAGUGUCUCACUGGUAACAGCUACCUGGCUGCAACCUCCAGCGUCAAAUGUUGAUGGCUAGCAGGCCCAGCCCAGUUCAGAAGCUGGCAUUCCUGUGCCAUUUUACCCUCACUCAGGAUCUCACUUGCCCACCAUGAACUGGCCUCUCUUGGGCUCCCAUCCAGAUGGCCACCAUCUUCACAUAGAAGUGCCCUGUGUCACAGUUUUCUGCAUUUCGCAGGCAAGAACAAUGGGGGAAUUUAAGGAGGGUGAGAAUUCACAAAUAUGAACCAGGCAUGGUAGUACACACCUAUCAUCCCAGCACGUGGGAAGUGAAGUUGGGAAGAUCAGGAGUACAGAUGACCCUCAGGUACAUGAUACCCUACCUUAAAAGUCACCAACAGAGAGCUGGAGAGCUCACUCCAAGUUUAAGAGCACUGGUUGCACUUCCAAAGUACCUCAGUUCAAUUCACAGCUCUUGCACAGUGGCUCACAACUGUCUGUAACCUCAGUUCCAGGAGACCCACUGCUCUCUUCUGGUCUCUGCACACACUCCAUGCACACAGUGCAUAAACAUACAUGCAGGGAAAGCUCCCAUAUACAUAAAAACAAAAAAAACCACCAACAGAGCCAGGCAUGGUGGUGCAUGACUUUGCUCCCAGUGCUUAGGAGGCUGAGGAAGGAUCUAUGUGAGUCUGAGGCCAGCCUGGGUCUACAUAAUGAGUUAUAGAACAGCCAGGGCUAUAUAGAGAAACCUGUCUCAAAAAAACAAAAGACAAAAACCACCAACAGGUGCUGAUGAGAUGGCUCCCUGAGUAAAGGCACCGGGUACCAAGCCUGGCAGCCUGAGUUUGAUCCCUGGGACCCACCUGAGGGACGGAAAGAACCAAUUCCCCCAAGUUGUCCUUUGACCUCCAAACUGCUCCAUGGUGUCUGUACACCCCCACCCCCAAAUAAAUGUAAAAUGUAAUUAAAAAAUAACCAACCAACCAAAUACACGUGGGACUGGGAAGACAGUCAAAUGCCAGCUCUGCAAGCCUGCGGAGCUGAGUGGGGAGGGAGCCCCAGCCACACUCGCCUACAGUCACAGGAGAGCAGUGGAGACAGGAGGAUCCCGGGCUUUGCCGGCCAGGCAGUCUAGCUGAACCGGUGAGUUCCAGAUUACGUGAGAGAACCUGUCUCAAAUACAAAACAAAACAAAACACCAAAAUAAUGUGUGUGGGGGUACAGCUCAAGAUAGAGAAAGCAGAACAAGAAAGGCUGCCUAUUAAGGAAAGAGGACGGACUGAGAGCAGGUAACAGACACGUGUUAGGAAAGAGGAAAGUGAGUGAGUCCCUUUUGUAGUUCUGUCGUGGAUUUUCCCUGUUAGGUAGUGAAUAAGUGUAUAAAGACAUAUUCAGUAGUGGAUCUACAAAAUCCAAUGUGAAACUUAACUGUGGUGAGUGCUAAUUUUUUUUAUUUGCAACUUUUUUUUUUGGUUUUUCGAGACAGGGUUUCUCUGUGUAGCUUUGCGCCUUUCCUGGAUCUCGCUCUGUAGACCAGGCUGGCCUUGAACUCACAAAGAUCCACCUGCCUCUACCUCCUGAGUGCUGGGAUUAAAGGCGUGCGCCACCACCGCACAGCUACAACUUCUUUAAAUAAUAAAGUUUGAAAAAAAUAAGGUGACGAGUGAUUAGGAAGACACUUGAUGUCUGGCUUUCAAAUGGUGAAUACUCCCCCCCCCCCCACAUACACACAGUGUCAAAGAUGAACUCAAUUUUAAAAUUCCCACUAUGCUCUCACUGGCCCCUAACUGUUCAGUUAUAUUGGGACAAACACAUUUUCCAAGCAGUAUAGCAGCACAGAAGGGGUUGUGUUUGGUUUUUGAGACCAUCUUGCCAUGCAGCUCAGGCUGGUCUUGAACCCCCCUGCCUCAGCCUCCCCAGGGCUGGAAGUACAGGCAUUUGCCACACUUGGCUGUUGCUGCCAUUCUGGGGACCCACUCCCAGGCACUCAGACCAGGGAGCACCCCUCAGGUCUGAGCCCUGAUGGGAGCUGUAUUGAGGACAAGAGAAGAAGUCUGAGAAAGGAGCAGGGCAGGAUGGCCAGCACUGGUUUGUGGUGACAUCUGCAGA